AGUUUGAUCAGUGGACUCAGGACGACGCUGGCGGCGUGCUUAACACAUGCAAGUCGAGCGGAAAGGCCCUUUCGGGGGUACUCGAGCGGCGAACGGGUGAGUAACACGUGAGUAAUCUGCCCUUGGCUUUGGGAUAACUACCGGAAACGGUGGCUAAUACCGGAUAUGACCAUGCUCGGCAUCGGGUGUGGUGGAAAGUUUUUUCGGCCAGGGAUGUGCUCGCGGCCUAUCAGCUUGUUGGUGGGGUAAUGGCCUACCAAGGCUUCGACGGGUAGCCGGCCUGAGAGGGUGACCGGCCACACUGGGACUGAGACACGGCCCAGACUCCUACGGGAGGCAGCAGUGGGGAAUAUUGGACAAUGGGCGGAAGCCUGAUCCAGCAACGCCGCGUGAGGGAUGACGGCCUUCGGGUUGUAAACCUCUUUCAGUACCGACGAAGCGCCGAUGAUGGUGGUGACGGUAGGUACAGAAGAAGCACCGGCCAACUACGUG
rnacentral:rRNA from 1 species